GUACUUUGAACUUUUAGCAUUGCUAAUAUCUUCUCUAAAUUUUCUAAACGAACGGUCUUUGUGGGACGGAGGGAGUAUAAAUCAAGCUCUCAUUCCAUUAUCGAUGAUGUGUUAAUUUUGAAAAUAGUGAAACAAAAUUUGCUACUGAGAAUGGCCUAACAAUUAUUGAGAAUGGAACCUUCGCUUUUUGUUCCAUACAUAUGAACGGUAAAUAUUGUAUUUUUUUAAUUCUAGAUAGAGGAAAACAUACAAAUAUUGAUGUUUCUGUGCUUCUUUUUUAUGACC
rnacentral:lncRNA from 1 species